UUUAAUUGAAGAGUUUGAUCAUGGCUCAGAUUGAACGCUGACGGCAGGCUUAACACAUGCAAGUCGAGCGGUAACAUUUCUAGCUUGCUAGAA
rnacentral:rRNA from 1 species